AACGAACGCUGGCGGCAGGCCUAACACAUGCAAGUCGAACGCCCUAGCAAUAGGGAGUGGCAGACGGGUGAGUAACGCGUGGGAACGUACCCUUCGGUUCGGAAUAAGCCGGGGAAACCUGGUCUAAUACCGGAUACGUGCGAGAGCAGAAAGAUUUAUCGCCGAAGGAUCGGCCCGCGUCCGAUUAGCUAGUUGGUGAGGUAACGGCUCACCAAGGCGACGAUCGGUAGCUGGUCUGAGAGGAUGAUCAGCCACACUGGGACUGAGACACGGCCCAUCCUCCUACGGGAGGCAGCAGUGGGGAAUAUUUGACAAUGGGCGCAAGCCUGAUCCAGGCAUGCCGCGUGAGUGAUGAAGGCCCUAGGGUUGUAAAGCUCUUUCGCCAGGGACGAUAAUGACGGUACCUGGAUAAGAAGCCCCGGCUAACUUCGUGCCAGCCGCCGCGGUAAAAC
rnacentral:rRNA from 1 species